UGCUGGAAGUUUGAAGAGCCGAAACAGUAAAGCUUCCAUGCUUGUUUUGCUUUACGAAAAUGAAACCAGGAGGUGCUUGUUUAUGUAGAUCGGAAGAAUACAUUGAUCAUUUUGCACUUGGGGGUGAAAAGCACCUUUCCUGGACUGCGUGGCCGGAUCAAGCCAGCCCUAGUCUGUCUCCCGGCUCCAUUAUGUAAUAUGUGUUCUGGACUGUUAGACAAGAAACAACAAACGAUUUAAGAAACGAUUUAAGAAACACUUUAGAAACGAUUCAAAUCAUUAAUGAUGUGUGGGGCUUCGUUCUGGAAUAUAAGUCACGAAAGAAAGAUGGGAAAAGGAAACCGACGAUUUUUUUUUUCUUUUGAGAGAACUUCGCCCUUGUUGCCCAGACUCCGUCUCAAAAAAAAAAAACAAAAACAACUAAAAGUACUCUGUGCUAUGCUACAUGAGAAACGCAGAGAAAGUCAUCGCUCAGUAGAAAUACAGUAAUAGCGCAUGCGUAAAUAGGAGAGGGAAGUCGCUACUUUACCUAGAGAUUAACACAGAAAAGCAACAAAUUACCAGUUUACAAGUAAACCCUUUAUCUAACGCGAAGAUUUAUUUAUUUUUUGAGAUGGAAUCUUGCUCUGUCUCUCAGGCUAGAGCGCCCGCCACCAGGCCUGAUUCACUUUUCUUUUGGUUUUUUAGUGAAGACGGGAUUUUUCACACCAUGUUAGUCAGGCUGGAAUUACCCAAUCCGCCCGCCCCAACCUCCCGAAGUGCUAGGAUUUCACGCUUGAAACCCCGAGCGCGACCUAGGUUUAACACAUCAAACGCGAAACCAGGCCGGGCGCGGUGGCUCACGCCUGUAAUCCCACCACUUUGGGAGGCCGAGGCGGGCGGAUCACGAGCUCAGGAGAUCGAGACCAUCCUGGUUAACACGUUGUGAAACCCUGUCUCCACUAAAAAUACAAAACAGGCCGGGCGCGGUGGCUCACGCCUGUAUUCCCAGCACUUUGGGAGGCUGAAGCGGGCGGAUCACAAGGUCAAGAGAUGGAGACCACCCUGGCCAACAUGGUGAAACCCCGUCUC
rnacentral:lncRNA from 1 species